ACCUGCCCCUGACUCUGGGAUAAGCGUUGGAAACGACGUCUAAUACUGGAUAUGAUCACUGGUCGCAUGGCCUGGUGGUGGAAAGAUUUUUUGGUUGGGGAUGGACUCGCGGCCUAUCAGCUUGUUGGUGAGGUAAUGGCUCACCAAGGCGACGACGGGUAGCCGGCCUGAGAGGGUGACCGGCCACACUGGGACUGAGACACGGCCCAGACUCCUACGGGAGGCAGCAGUGGGGAAUAUUGCACAAUGGGCGAAAGCCUGAUGCAGCAACGCCGCGUGAGGGAUGACGGCCUUCGGGUUGUAAACCUCUUUUAGUAGGGAAGAAGCGAAAGUGACGGUACCUGCAGAAAAAGCACCGGCUAACUACGUGCCAGCAGCCGCGGUAAUACGUAGGGUGCAAGCGUUGUCCGGAAUUAUUGGGCGUAAAGAGCUCGUAGGCGGUUUGUCGCGUCUGCUGUGAAAUCCCGAGGCUCAACCUCGGGCUUGCAGUGGGUACGGGCAGACUAGAGUGCGGUAGGGGAGAUUGGAAUUCCUGGUGUAGCGGUGGAAUGCGCAGAUAUCAGGAGGAACACCGAUGGCGAAGGCAGAUCUCUGGGCCGUAACUGACGCUGAGGAGCGAAAGCAUGGGGAGCGAACAGGAUUAGAUACCCUGGUAGUCCAUGCCGUAAACGUUGGGCGCUAGAUGUAGGGACCUUUCCACGGUUUCUGUGUCGUAGCUAACGCAUUAAGCGCCCCGCCUGGGGAGUACGGCCGCAAGGCUAAAAACUCAAAGGAAUUGACGGGGGCCCGCACAAGCCGGCGGAGCAUGCGGAUUAAUUCGAUGCAACGCGAAGAACCUUACCAAGGCUUGA
rnacentral:rRNA from 1 species